AGUUUUGAGCUAAAUAUAUUAUAAUAUUAGUUUAUUUAUGAAGGUGUUGUAAAACCUUAUUAAAAAUUAUAUUUAGGGGUGAUAGGCCUUUCAAAAACUAAGAUAUCUUGAAUCUAAUUAAAAGUAUGUAGUACACUCAACACAACUAUUAAGUGAUUAGGCUUUAUAGAACUAUUAACUUAUAAGGAUUUUUAUUUAUUAUAAUUUAAUAAUUAAGUAUAUAAAUAAAAUAAUAUACAUAUAUUAUAGUUUAUAAGGAGUAAUUAGAUAAAUUAAAGUUCAUAAAUUUUGUAAUAAUGUUAAUAUUAGUAUUAAGUUUAUAUUUAUAUGAUGAACUCGGCAAAAAUGUUUCUCAACUGUUUAUCAAAAACAUAACUAUGUGUAUAAAUACAUAGCGGUUUCUGCUCAA
rnacentral:rRNA from 1 species